GAGCGUCAUUUCAACCAUCAAGCCCCCGGGCUUGCGAUGGGGCCAUGCGGCUGCCGCAUCCCCCGAAAUUCAGUGGCGGGCUCGCCUUCACUCCGAGCGCAGUAACGCAUCUCGCUCUGGACGUGUAGCGGGCUCCUGCCGUAAAACACCCCAAUUUUAAGGUUGACCUCGGAUCAGGUAGGAAUACCCGCUGAACUUAA
rnacentral:misc_RNA from 1 species